UACGAAGGGGGCUAGCGUUGCUCGGAUUGACUGGGCGUAAAGGGCGCGUAGGCGGUUCGUACAGUCAGACGUGAAAUUCCUGGGCUCAACCUGGGGGCUGCGUUUGAUACGUGCGGACUUGAGUGCGGAAGAGGGUCGUGGAAUUCCCAGUGUAGAGGUGAAAUUCGUAGAUAUUGGGAAGAACACCGGUGGCGAAGGCGACCACCUGGACGGAGACUGACGCUGAGGCGCGAAAGCGUGGGGAGCAAACAGG
rnacentral:rRNA from 1 species